rnacentral:rRNA from 2 species
CAUGCCGUAAACGAUGUCUACUAGCCGUUGGGGCCUUUGAGGCUUUAGUGGCGCAGCUAACGCGAUAAGUAGACCGCCUGGGGAGUACGGUCGCAAGACUAAAACUCAAAUGAAUUGACGGGGGCCCGCACAAGCGGUGGAGCAUGUGGUUUAAUUCGAUGCAACGCGAAGAACCUUACCUGGCCUUGACAUAGUAGAAACUUUCCAGAGAUGGAUUGGUGCCUUCGGGAAUCUACAUACAGGUGC